rnacentral:rRNA from 1 species
AUUGAACGCUGGCGGCAGGCCUAACACAUGCAAGUCGAACGAGUGGCGGACGGGUGAGUAAUGUCUGGAAAACUGCCUGAUGGCGGGGGAUAACUCCUGGAAACGGUAGCUAAUACCGCAUAACAUCAGCUGGGCCCAGACGGGACUAGCUUGUUGGUGGGGUAACGGAUCACCAAGGCGACGAUCACUAGCGGGUUUGAGAGGAUGACCGGCCACACUGGAACUGAGACACGGUCCAGACUCCUACGGGAGGCAGCAGUGGGGAAUAGUGCACAAUGGGCGCAAGCCUGAUGCAGCCAUGCCGCGUGUAUGAAGAAGGCCUUUGGGUUGUAAAGUACUUUCAGCGGGGAGGCGUUACCCGCAGAAGAAGCCCCGGCUAACUCCGUGCCAGCAGCCGCGGUAAUAC